CUACGUUUGUAUGCGUGAGCAUGCGCAAUACUUAGUAGGCCAUGUGCUGAAAUCCAUUUUAUUUAUGAGAGAACUGACUGCUAAGAGAAAGACUUCUUGGUCCCCUACGAAGAGACUCUCAAGAAAUAACUUCAGGUUAUUAUUCUGUUAAUGUGUGGCUCUUAGAAGAACCGGGGUAUGAGGGUAACACAGAUGUCUAGCUGGGAGAAGAGUCCAGAGUACAGCUCCUCUUGUUGUGACCAAGUUGGCCACACUGUCCACAGCGUCUGGGCCUCUUGGCAGGGGGUGGAUGGCUGGGAGAGGAGGGACCUGGUGGCUCUGGAGAUGGCUGUCGACUGUCUGGCCGUGGAGCAGAUGGCUCUGGACACGUAAUGUCUUGAUCAGCGACAGGGCAGAACUCUCGGAUCUUAUCAUAGAGGUACCACUGCCGCUGAAGUGACAGACCCUUGGGUACAAUCUCUGAAGGCAUCUCAUCCUGAUCCAGCUCAACACCAUCCUUCAGAAUGUUGUGCUCCUUCCCCACAGAGUCGCUGUGCUUCUUGGUGGCAACAACACCUGGCUUACUGGACAUCACAUGGAAAUGAUGAGUGACCUUGAUCUCUGGGAGUUUCUUAAAGAUUGGUGCAAAGAAACUUGCCCAGUCGUACAUCGGAACCACAACUCCACCAUUGCUAUCCACUACAAGCUGGGCUUUGUUGCAAGUGGCCGACCCCUCCACAACCUGUAAGUAUAACAACAGUGUACAGUCAACCUCGAUGGCCUGAAGGCUUCCGAUUACUGUCCUUCGGUACAGUCUCUUGACGAGCCCAAAGCACCAGUCCGGAAAAAAUUUGGUGUGUCCAACUACCAGAAAUGAGAGAGUGAUGUGAGAGUGGCGGUUGGUCAUCGAGCGCCAUAGCAGUUUCCCGCCUCAUCACAGAGGAAAUUGACUUGGCGGGGAAUUGCCUCACAGCACACCCCAAACAAAGAGCACUUCCGAGAUCCCUACCUGUUGAGCGUAAUCGAAAGAGUAAUGACUCUCGAUAUCCAAAGAGUUCGGAGGAGUGUUUGAAGACAGCGGCGGUGGGGUGAAUUCUCCGUCUUGCUCAAAGUGUGAGCGGAUAGUCACUCUGCACUGGUCGCAUACAGUCUUGUAGUAUGAUCUCUCCUUCUGAACUUUGUCCAGAUGCUCCAUGUAGGCUGUCAGGGUCGCACUCUUCUCGGCAAGUGGCGUGUUGACUGCACGAGAGAGUGCUGUGCUGUUCUGCUGGCAGGUCCAGCACAGAUCAGUCAUAGGCUUCGUCACAACCAGUUUCCAUACUGACCUCUUUGAGGUGCUUGAGGGUAGCAACCUGAUGUCAGUCUUUCGGAACCCAGGGACUCUACCGGGUACUAAACGUACCUACAAAAUGGAUAAAUCUGAAAAACCGAGUACACACGGGUUUCCCCUGGUGGACAUAACUGCUGUAGCUGUUCUUCCUCCCUGCCGCUACGUGUCGAGAUUCAACCACCACACCAUCGCUACGAUUAGUGCAGGCCGAAAUUUGCCCCAAAAGAGCCAUGUCGAGUUCGUCGUGUGAAAGUUCAUUGCAGGCCAUUCUCAUCUUUGUUAUAGAGCUCCAUUGGACCGAGAGCACUUGAGGGGUUACCAGUGGUGCGUGAAGAGAUCCGUACAAGCGCUGCUUCCAAUGGAUCUGUUUCAUGUCUAAUGUCGCCAUCAUCGUCAUCGUCAUCACCUAAACAAAGGCAAGAAUUGUUAAAAGUUAAAGCCUAAAAUUGUUAUUUCUUACCUUGCAGCGAGAGGAUGGGCUCGUCAAACUCAAACCUAGAGUCAGUAUCCCCCAUGUCUUCAGUCCCUACAUUGUAGCAUUUUGUAUUACAUUUUAUUUCCAUUGCUUUAUUGUUCUGUUUCAUUUUGAUUACUGUGUUGUUUUAUACGUACCAUCGGUUUCUCUC